rnacentral:misc_RNA from 1 species
CCAAUAGCGUAUAUUAAAGUUGUUGCAGUUAAAAAGCUCGUAGUUGAAUUUCGGGAUCGAAUUGUUGGUCGUGCUUCGGUACGCACUGGCAUUAUUGGUUCCUACCUUCUGAAGAACCGCGAUGUCAUUAAUUUGGUGUCGUGGGGAAUCAGGACUGUUACUUUGAAAAAAUUAGAGUGUUUAAAGCAGGCUUACGCUUGAAUACAUUAGCAUGGAAUAAUGAAAUAGGACGUUUGAUUCUAUUUUGUUGGUUUCUAGGAUCGACGUAAUGAUUAAUAGGGAUAGUUGGGGGCAUUAGUAUUCAAUUGUCAGAGGUGAAAUUCUUGGAUUUAUUGAAGACUAACUACUGCGAAAGCAUUUGCCAAGGAUGUUUUCAUUAAUCAAGAACGAAAGUUAGGGGAUCGAAGACGAUCAGAUACCGUCGUAGUCUUAACCAUAAACUAUGCCGACUAGGGAUCGGAUGAUGUUAAUUUUAUAAUGACUCAUUCGGCGCCUUACG